rnacentral:rRNA from 1 species
AGAAUCAACGCUGGCGGCGUGCCUAACACAUGCAAGUCGAGCGCGAAAGGGGGGGCAACUCCCCAAGUAGAGCGGCGAACGGGUGAGUAACGCGUGGGUAAUCUACCUUCGAGUGGGGAAUAACAGCGGGAAACUGCUGCUAAUACCGCAUGACAUCGCCGGGUUUCAGACCUGACGAUCAAAGCCGGGGACCGCAAGGCCUGGCGCUUGAAGACGAGCCCGCGUCCGAUUAGCUAGUUGGCGGGGUAAUGGCCCACCAAGGCGACGAUC